GGGUGUGCUGCGUGGGUGCCUUAGUUUUGCAAAAACUAAUGAGAAAUUUUUAUUUCCAUGCUCU
rnacentral:tRNA from 1 species